rnacentral:misc_RNA from 1 species
GCUGGCCUUCCGAGGCAUGUGCACGCCCUGCUCAUCCACUCUACACCUGUGCACUUACUGUAGGUUUGGCGUGGGCUUCGGGGGCCUCCGGGCUUUCGAGGCAUUCUGCCGGCCUAUGUAACACUACAAACACAUAAAGUAACAGAAUGUCAUCGCGUCUAACGCACAUAAAU